UGGUGACAAUAGCGUUUUGGACCCACCUGACCCCAUGCCGAACUCAGUAGUGAAACGAAACAGCGCCGAUGAUAGUGUAGCAUUUGU
rnacentral:rRNA from 1 species